UUGUUUUUUUAUCCGAAGAUGAUGAAUU
rnacentral:snRNA from 1 species